UUUCCUGCAUCAUGUGAACUGGCUUGUGGCAAUGAUUCACUAGUUACACCACCUCCUGUUGCUGAUGGUUCAGUUGGAAAAUCUGAGCAGAAGUCCAAAGAAAUUAACAAUAGAAAUUAGGUACAGAAAUAUAGCUGUAAGUUCAUUAAAUACGAAACAUUCACUUAUUAGAUUUAUAUAAAAGGCGAUGCCCCAAAAACCCAAGGCUUCCACUGAGAAGACAUAUUUGAGAAAAGUGCAAAUGCCUGGAAGACUUCAGUGCUGAAAAACCUGGAUGCCUUUGAACAGUAGCCUUAAGAUUAGACUGCAGCUUGGUGUAUAAAAACAUCGGCGCUAUUGUUUUCAAGUGGAAUUGGUAACACUAAAGGACUAAGAGCCUACUCACCUUCAUUUCUCAGAGAAAACAAAUAAGCUGUGUCACCAAGCUUAAUCAGCUCACUUGUAGAUUCUGAACCACCAGCCUCCCAAGAUGGAUCAAGCAGCUCUGAUGACUGAGAGGACCUAAAUGGAACACAAUAAAGUAAUGUGCUUUUUGAUUUGGCCACAAGGUGGUAGAAUACAUAGGAAGCAUCAAUCAACGCCUUCAGUCAUUCAAAAAUUAAGAGGGAAGGGACGUUGGGCCUUCUGCUCCCAACUUUAACAAAACAGAUCAAUAAAAUAUUAGAAAAUAAUAAAAAAUUAAAGUAAAACCAUAACA